CCGACCUUAGCUCAGUUGGUAGAGCGGAGGACUGUAGUGUGGCUGCCGAAAUCCUUAGGUCGCUGGUUCGAAUCCGGCAGGUCGGA
rnacentral:tRNA from 1 species